CCUACGGGAGGCAGCAGUGAGGAAUAUUGGUCAAUGGACGAGAGUCUGAACCAGCCAAGUAGCGUGAAGGAUGACUGCCCUAUGGGUUGUAAACUUCUUUUAUAUGGGAAUAAAAUGUUCCACGUGUGGGAUUUUGUAUGUACCAUAUGAAUAAGGAUCGGCUAACUCCUCUCCAGCAGCCGCGGUAAUACGGAGGAUCCGAGCGUUAUCCGGAUUUAUUGGGUUUAAAGGGAGCGUAGGUGGAUUGUUAAGUCAGUUGUGAAAGUUUGCGGCUCAACCGUAAAAUUGCAGUUGAAACUGGCAGUCGUGAGUACAGUAGAGGUGGGCGGAAUUCGUGGUGUAGCGGUGAAAUGCGUAGAUAUCACGAAGAACUCCGGUUGCGAAGGCAGCUCACUGGACUGCAACUGACACUGAGGCUCGAAAGUGUGGGUAUCAAACAGGAUUAGAUACCCCUGUAGUC
rnacentral:rRNA from 1 species